rnacentral:rRNA from 1 species
AGAGUUUGAUCAUGGCUCAGAUUGAACGCUGGCGGCGUGCCUAACACAUGCAAGUCGAGCGGUAACAGGUGUAGCAAUACAUGCUGACGAGCGGCGAACGGGUGAGUAAUGCUUUGGAAUCUUCCCAGUAGUGGGGAACAACCAGUCGAAAGAUUGGCUAAUACCGCAUACGUCUGUGAAGAGAAAGCGGGGGAUCGUAAGACCUCGCGCUAUUGGAUGAGCCAAAGUCGGAUUAGCUAGUUGGUGAGGUAAUGGCUCACCAAGGCGACAAUCCGUAGCUGGUCUGAGAGGACGACCAGCCACACCGGAACUGAGACACGGUCCGGACUCCUACGGGAGGCAGCAGUGGGGAAUAUUGGACAAUGGGGGAAACCCUGAUCCAGCGACGCCGCGUGUGUGAAGAAGGCCUGCGGGUUGUAAAGCACUUUUAGUGGGGACAAAAAGUCACGUUUUAAUAAAGCGUGAUCUUGAUUUAACUCACAGAAAAAGCACCGGCUAACUCUGUGCCAGCAGCCGCGGUAAUACAGAGGGUGCGAGCGUUAAUCGGAAUUACUGGGCGUAAAGCGCGCGUAGACGGUUUGGUAAGUCAGAUGUGAAAUCCCCGGGCUCAACCUGGGAACUGCAUUUGAUACUGCCUGGCUAGAGUAUCGAAGAGGGAAGUGGAAUUUCCGGUGUAGCGGUGAAAUGCGUAGAUAUCGGAAGGAACACCAGUGGCGAAAGCGACUUCCUGGUCGAAUACUGACGUUCAUGUGCGAAAGCGUGGGGAGCAAACAGGAUUAGAUACCCUAGUAGUCC